AAAGAUAUAGUAUAAAUAUUAAUACAUUUCGUUUACACCGAAAAUAUACUUAAAUAUAAGUUGUCUUUA
rnacentral:tRNA from 1 species